rnacentral:rRNA from 1 species
AACGAACGCUGGCGGCAUGCCUAACACAUGCAAGUCGAACGAGACCGUCGGGUCUAGUGGCGCACGGGUGCGUAACGCGUGGGAACCUGCCCUUAGGUUCGGAAUAACUCCCCGAAAGGGGUGCUAAUACCGGAUAAUGUCUUCGGACCAAAGAUUUAUCGCCUUUGGAUGGGCCCGCGUUGGAUUAGCUAGUUGGUAGGGUAAAAGCCUACCAAGGCGAGGAUCCAGAGCUGGUCGGAGAGGAUGAUCCGCCACACUGGGACUGCGACACGGCCCAGACUCCUACGGGAGGGAGCAGUGGGGAAUAUUGGACGAGGGGCGAAGGCCUGAUCCAGCAAUGCCGCGUGAGUGAGGAAGGCCGUAGGGUUGUAAAGCUCUUUUACCCGGGAUGAUAAUGACAGUACCGGGAGAAUAAGCUCCGGCUAACUCCGUG